UACGUAGGGCGCAAGCGUUAUCCGGAAUCAUUGGGCGUAAAGCGCGUGUAGGCGGCUCGGUAAGUCUGCUCUGAAAGUCCAAGGCUCAACCUUGGGAUGCGGGUGGAUACUGCCGGGCUCGAGUCCGGAAGAGGCGAGUGGAAUUCCUGGUGUAGCGGUGAAAUGCGCAGAUAUCAGGAGGAACACCAAUGGCGAAGGCAGCUCGCUGGGACGUGACUGACGCUGAGACGCGAAAGCGUGGGGAGCAAACAGG
rnacentral:rRNA from 1 species